rnacentral:lncRNA from 1 species
GAACACGUUGUGUCUCUCAGCUUGUGUUAGCAGGAGGUCGCACUGGAGUUUGCGUCGCUGAUUCCUCAAUUCCUCGUGAGCUUUGAACAUCAUCUUCUCGGUGGGAUCGCUCUGUCCUAAUGCCUCUUAGCUAGUUAGGUUAACUCUUCUGUGCACCAUUUAUUCUCUAUCUCCGUAUCAGUGGUUGAUCAAGAAGUCAUGAAUAUUUCCUGUAAGGGAUGAAGCUUCCCAUGUUGCUGCCACUAUUGUCUGAUGCAUCAUGUUGGACAAUCUUUGAUCAUCAUCUUUAGGUCACUAUUGUCUGAUGCAUCAUGUUGGACAAUGUUUGAUCAUCAUCUUUAGAUCCGAGGUGGUGAUAAGGUGUCAAGCUUAAAUUAGCACACCUCUAUAAACUAGUGUGACUCCGAGUUAGUAAAUUAAAACAAAUCAUACUCAUUGGCUUGAAGUUGAAUGCUGCUGAACUUGAAUAUUUGUUUAGGGGCAAACCUAGUCUUCAUAAUCUUCGAGUUUGCGUUCAUUGAACUUGAAGAAAUUUUUUCUGCACCCAUACGUAACACGCCAACUAUUGAUGAUCUAGAUCGGCAGUAAAUACAGGCUAUCGCAAAUGCUAAGAUUGAUGAUAGGCAAAUGAUAUUGGUUUUCUAGUUUUGGGCUCUCAACGCGAGAUAACACACUAAUUCAGUUUUAUAUGUAUUAUUUGCUAUAAACAAAUCGCAAUCAAAAUAUUGCACAAUCUGUUAUAUCGUGAUCACUCAAGUCUUAUAUACCAACGGGUAAAGUUAUAAGAGAGAAAUUUAAUCUGAUAAGACCAAGCAUAUUACUCAAACCCAACUAGUUAUGAAAACUCAUACAUAUAAUACUAAUACUUGAUAUAUCCUUAGUUGAUUACAACCUAAUAUCUAUCUUUACAUCUUUCUUUAUACCUUU